rnacentral:rRNA from 1 species
GCUGAUGGCGACCGGCGCACGGGUGAGUAACACGUAUCCAACCUGCCGUCUACUCUUGGCCAGCCUUCUGAAAGGAAGAUUAAUCCAGGAUGGCAUCAUGAGUUCACAUGUCCGCAUGAUUAAAGGUAUUUUCCGGUAGACGAUGGGGAUGCGUUCCAUUAGAUAGUAGGCGGGGUAACGGCCCACCUAGUCAACGAUGGAUAGGGGUUCUGAGAGGAAGGUCCCCCACAUUGGAACUGAGACACGGUCCAAACUCCUACGGGAGGCAGCAGUGAGGAAUAUUGGUCAAUGGGCGAUGGCCUGAACCAGCCAAGUAGCGUGAAGGAUGACUGCCCUAUGGGUUGUAAACUUCUUUUAUAAAGGAAUAAAGUCGGGUAUGCAUACCCGUUUGCAUGUACUUUAUGAAUAAGGAUCGGCUAACUCCGUGCCAGCAGCCGCGGUAAUACGGAGGAUCCGAGCGUUAUCCGGAUUUAUUGGGUUUAAAGGGAGCGUAGAUGGAUGUUUAAGUCAGUUGUGAAAGUUUGCGGCUCAACCGUAAAAUUGCAGUUGAUACUGGAUGUCUUGAGUGCAGUUGAGGCAGGCGGAAUUCGUGGUGUAGCGGUGAAAUGCUUAGAUAUCACGAAGAACUCCGAUUGCGAAGGCA